CGCCGAUACAACGAGCCUUUAUAGCUCAGUGGUAGAGCGUCAGUCUUGUAAACUGAAGGUCCGGUGUUCGAUCCACCGUGGAGGCAA